GUGGGGAAUUUUGGACAAUGGGCGCAAGCCUGAUCCAGCAAUGUCGCGUGCAGGAAGAAGGCCUUCGGGUUGUAAAGCUCUUUAGCCGAUGAUUAUAAUGACUGUAGUCGGAAAAUAAGCCCCGGCUAACUUCGUGCCAGCAGCCGCGGUAAUACGAAGGGGGCGAGCGUUAUUCGGAAUCACUGGGCGUAAAGCGUGCGUAGGCGGUUUUGUAAGUUAGGAGUGAAAGCCCAGGGCUCAACCUUGGAAUUGCUCUUAAAACUGCAAGGCUCGAAUCUCGGAGAGGAUAGCGGAAUUUCCAGUGUAGCAGUGAAAUGCGUAGAUAUUGGAAGGAACACCAGUGGCGUAAGCGGCUAUCUGGACGAGUAUUGACGCUGAGGCACGAAAGCGUGGGGAUCAAACAGGAUUAGAUACCCUUGUAGUCC
rnacentral:rRNA from 1 species